CGCACAAGCGGUGGAGCAUGUGGUUUAAUUCGAAGCUACGCGAAGAACCUUACCAGGUCUUGACAUCUUCUGCCAACCUAAGAGAUUAGGCGUUCCCUUCGGGGACAGAAUGACAGGUGGUGCAUGGUUGUCGUCAGCUCGUGUCGUGAGAUGUUGGGUUAAGUCCYGCAACGAGCGCAACCCUUAUUACUAGUUGCCAGCAUUCAGUUGGGCACUCUAGUGAGACUGCCGGUGACAAACCGGAGGAAGGUGGGGACGACGUCAAAUCAUCAUKCCCCUUAUGACCUGGGCUACACACGUGCUACAAUGGAUGGUACAACGAGUCGCGAAACCGCGAGGUUUAGCUAAUCUCUUAAAACCAUUCUCAGUUCGGACUGUAGGCUGCAACUCGCCUACAYGAAGUCGGAAUCGCUAGUAAUCGCGGAUCAGCAUGCCGCGGUGAAUACGUUCCCGGGCCUUGUACACACCGCCCGUCACACCAUGAGAGUUUGUAACACCCAAAGCCGGUGGGGUAACCUUUUAGGAGCUAGCC
rnacentral:rRNA from 1 species